UACGAAGGGGGCUAGCGUUGCUCGGAAUCACUGGGCGUAAAGCGCACGUAGGCGGAUUGCUAAGUCAGGGGUGAAAUCCUGGAGCUCAACUCCAGAUCUGCCUUUGAUACUGGCGAUCUCGAGUCCGGGAGAGGUGAGUGGAACUGCGAGUGUAGAGGUGAAAUUCGUAGAUAUUCGCAAGAACACCAGUGGCGAAGGCGGCUCACUGGCCCGGUACUGACGCUGAGGUGCGAAAGCGUGGGGAGCAAACAGG
rnacentral:rRNA from 1 species